UUUAAUUGAAGAGUUUGAUCAUGGCUCAGAUUGAACGCUGGCGGCAGGCCUAACACAUGCAAGUCGAGCGGUAACAGGA
rnacentral:rRNA from 1 species